rnacentral:tRNA from 1 species
ACCUGGGUGGCUGAGUGGGUUAAGCAUCUGAUUUCAGCUCAGGUCACGGUCUCAGGGUUUGUGGGUUCGAGCCCCACCUUGGGUU